UACGGAGGGUGCAAGCAUUAAUCGGAAUUAUUGGGCGUAAAGGGCGCGUAGGCGGACAGAGAAGUCUGAUGUGAAAUACCGGGGCUCAACCUCGGUGCGGCAUUGGAAACUCUUUGUCUGGAGGGUUGAUGGAGAAAACGGAAUUCCAAGUGUAGCGGUGAAAUGCGUAGAUAUUUGGAAGAACACCUGUGGCGAAAGCGGUUUUCUAAUUAACACCUGACGCUGAGGCGCGAGAGCAAGGGGAGCAAACAGG
rnacentral:rRNA from 1 species